ACUGCUCUCUCUCUCCCUGACAGAGACCUCAAUUUUCACCAUCUCUUCCUUCCACGUCUCUUCCCACAGCCAAGUCGCCGUUCACUGGAUUUGCUCCACCGCCGAGUCGCUGGCCGCGUACCUCCCACCACCAUCAUGUUCUCUGCUCCUCUCAUCGAAAUGUCAUGGAUCGAUUGAGCUACGAAUUAAAGAACAUUGAAGUGGUUGCCGCUCUUUGAGAUUGGGGCCACCUGUUUCAGGGUCUUGAAGUUUCUGAAACCCUUUUGGAAAAAGUUGAGAACUUUGGCCUGCUCAUUUGCUAUCUGGUUUUCUUCUCUGGCCAAAUCAAGAACACAUCACAUCAGAAAAUGCUGCAGAUACCACUCAAAUUACCAUCUGCUGUAAGCAAAAAAGAAGAAGUUGAAGAUAGAGAGAAGAGUGAUAGUAGAAGAAGCAAAUCAAAUGGGCAAUCGGUGCAGCGUAGUUUGCUAAGGACACCAUCAUUGCCACCGUGUUUAGGGACGCCAGACCUCAGCUCUGUUUGCCCAAAAGACUGAAAUUCAUGAUUGAGAGAAAGAGAGAAGAAAGAAGCACAAGAAUAAAGCAGAGAAAAGGAAGAGGGGGACGAGAAGCAAUCAAAAUCGGUCUGGAUAGGCAAAGAAUUCUUUCUGCAUUCCUUGCCUUGGUCAGAUUGAGGGAAAGCAUGUUGGCAUAGGUCGGCUUUGGGUUUAGUAUGUCCAAGAGGGAUUCAAGGGAGGUUCCAUUGAAAUCAAACUUCUUCUGUUUCUUUCUGGAUAAAGGGGUUUAUGAUUGUUAGAUUGGGUUUGUCAUGAACAAGGAGAAGGAAGGUGAUUUUUGGAAUUGCAUUGAGGAAAGCACGAGAGCUGCAGGGACUUCCAGAUUUUGAGGUUUAUAUUAACAUGCCCUACUGAUGAUAAAGUGCUCAAAGUGAUGGUCGAUUGAGAGAAUCUACAUUUGGAUAGUUAGAUGUUCAAAAGAUGAUGCAGUAUAUUUUGUAAUAUGCUAUAUUCUUAACAUAAGUUUAAACUCAAGUUGGUUAGAAAUUGUACUUAGUCUGUAGUAGAUUGGAUAUGACAAGUUUGUUAAAACCCUAUCUAUUAUCUAUGAUAUAUAUGUUGAUUCA